rnacentral:tRNA from 1 species
GCCUCCGUAGCUCAGCUGGAUAGCAGCGUUCGCCUCCUAAGCGAAAGGUCGGCGGUUCGAAUCCGCCCGGGGGUGCCA